rnacentral:rRNA from 1 species
GACAGAGGAUGCAAGCGUUAUCCGGAAUGAUUGGGCGUAAAGCGUCUGUAGGUGGCUUUUUAAGUCCGCCGUCAAAUCCCAGGGCUCAACCCUGGACAGGCGGUGGAAACUACCAAGCUGGAGUACGGUAGGGGCAGAGGGAAUUUCCGGUGGAGCGGUGAAAUGCGUAGAGAUCAGGAAGAACACCCGUGGCGAAGGCGGCCCACUGGGCCGGUGCUGGACGCUGAGGCGCGAAGGCGUGGGGAGCGAACGGG